rnacentral:rRNA from 1 species
UACGUAGGCAGCGAGCGUUGUUCGGAGUUACUGGGCGUAAAGGGUGUGUAGGCGGUUGUUUAAGUUUGGUGUGAAAGCUCCCGGCUCAACUGGGAGAGGUCCUUGCAUACUGGCGAACUCGAGGGAGGCAGAGGAAAGUGGAAUUCCCGGUGUAGUGGUGAUAUGCGUAGAUAUCGGGAGGAACACCUGUGGCGAAGGCGGCUUUCUGGGCCUUACCUGACGCUGAGACGCGAAAGCGUGGGGAGCGAACCGG